rnacentral:lncRNA from 1 species
GAACUCAGGACCUUGCACUUGUGAGGCAGGCGUGGCGCCACUGAGCUAAAUCCCCAGCCAGUGUAUUUAGUUUUUUAAAAAGUUACUGGAGAGGGCCGGGGAUUUAGCUCAGUGGUUUCGCUGCCUGCUGCGCAAGCGCAAGGACCUGAGUUUGAUUCGUGAUACCAAAAAAACCCAAACCAAACAAAAAAAGUUAUUGGAGGAAAGAAGGUGCUGAUUCAGACCAAUCAGAAGAUGGUAAGCAGCAUUUUAAUGCAGUUUUAAAUUUUUUAGCCUAAAAAAUAACUAAUGGUGACGAGUAUGUAGCUCAGUGGUAAAGUGCUUACCUAGUGUUCAUGAAGCCCUGGGUUUCUUUUGCAUUCCCAUCCCUAAAAAUUUAAUAUUGAAAACUAAAGAUACAAAAGGCAUCUUUUAGUCUGUCAGAUAUUUGUUCGGUAGAUUUUCAGAAAUUGACCAGUUUCGUAAACCAAAGAGAAAUAGUGUAAAUAAUACAAGAGCAAGUAUGGGGAUUUGAAAAUGCUAUGUCCACUUUUAAAGUACAGCCCAGAUUAUUUAGUAGUAACUAGUAAAAGUUCACUCAAAUUCAGAUUUUCAAACUUAUUUAGCACUUUUUAAAAAAAGUUACUUGAAUGUUCAGUUUAGAUUUAAAAAUAAGGGCUCAGUUCAUGGAGCUAUAUAUGAGCUAUAUAUGAUAUUAGAAUGCUUUUAUCAUUGUUAUUUAUUUAUUUUUAUUUUGGUACUGGGGUUCAAACUCAGGACCUUGUGCUUGUGAGGCAGGCGUGGCGCCACUGAGCUAUAUCUCCGGCCCUUUUAUUAGUAUUUUUUUUCUUUUAUUAGUAUUUUUGAAUAGGGAAGAGAACAGUAAUUGUUAUAAAACCAUAACAGUGAUCUGGGUUGCAGCUUAGUGUUAGAGCACAAACUUAGCAUGCACAAAGCCUUGGGCCUAAUCCCCUCCCCACUGAAAGAAAAGAUUCUGUUGACAUUUUCCUUUGAAAUUUUGUUAGCCUUUGAUCCAGGCAACUUCUGCAGCUCCAGUCACUGUUCUGCAUCGCUACACAAAGGGAAGGUGGAAUAAAUACCCUUCUUUAGAAUAACUUCCAAUCACUUUAUGUCUUACACUCAGCUGGUGACCAUAUUUCUAAAGUUCACUCAUGGGACCAAAAAAUAGGAAGAAAGAGAGUGGUGACCAGAUAAUCAUUGGCUUUUUGUUUUUUUUUAUUUUUUGGUACUGGGGAUCGAACUUGGGUCCUUGCUUUUGCACAGCAGGAAGUGAAACUACUGAGCUAAAUCCCCGUUCUGAUAAUUUAUUUUUAAAGUAAUAAUUCCUUGUACUAUGGAUCUGUCUAGAUUCAACACAGAUUUUUUUUUUCCCCCCUUAAGUUCCAGGAGCUUGUUGCAGCAUUUUUUUUUUUGGUACCAGGGAUUGAAUUUGGGUCCUUGCGCUUGCGCAGCAGGUGGUGAAACCACUGAGCUAAAUCCCCGGUCCUUUGCAGUGUCUUUUUAAAGAAAAUGAGAAGAAUGCCCACAAAUGUUAGGACAGAAUUAUGGAGGGAAAAUACUUUCUCAAAUUAAAAAUGGACUGGAGGAUACAGCUCAGCAGUAAAUCACUUGCUUAACAUGCAUAAGGCCCUCAGUUUGAUCCCCAGCACUAUGGCAGAAAAAAUGAAAACUGAAAGGUUGCGGGGAAUGGAGUAAAGAUCAGCGCUGGGAGGCAGAGGAUGUGGUAUAAAUAAGCAUUGAUUUGUAGUUUUGUUUCUAUGUAGAUUACUUACAACUAACGUAAAAUGAAUGUUUGAUUUCUUGAGCAUGCAGAUGGUGAAGGAUGGAAAGCCAACCUGGAGGCACAAAUUUCAGCAGAUGCUCUGCUUCCAGGUAGUGGAAGUGACUUAUUUUCUUUUUGUGGUUCUGGGUAUUGAAGCCAGGACCUCACCCAUGCUAGGCAAAUGCUCUAACACUGAGCUACAUCCCAGACCUAGUAUAAAUGAUUUUUUUCUUUUCAGUACUAGGGAAGGGGAGAGAGCCAAGGUCCUCUACCACUGAGCUAUGUCCCCAGCCCUUUUUAGUUUUAUUUAUUUUUUCUAUUUUGAGACAGGGUCCUGCUAAAUUGCAGGCUGGACUCAAACUUGUGAUUCUCCUGCUUGGCCUCUCAACUAGCUGGGAUUACAGGCAUGCAUCACUAUACCCAGCCUUCAAAAAUGACUUUUUAACAGUGCUAAUAUCUUCAAUCCAAAAGCAACACCAUCUCCAUCCAAAGGGAAUCUUUAAAUCUCAAGAUGGAUCACCUUCACCAUGAUUAGACUGCAGAUAGAAUAAGGCCUCAUGAAGAUAUUUUUGGUGGCUUUAAAUUGUUGGGAACAGAUACAUAGAGAAGAAACUGCAACUAUGCUCUUUUUUUUUCCUGGUUCCUCAGUCUCCUGAUAUAGUUAACAUUUCACAACUAAAAUAACCUUAAUGAACACUUGAUUAUACUUUUUUUGAAGAUACAUUUCAUGACCUCAGACUGCAGAAACUGCCAUCUCCUAGGCACAGUUUACAUUUGAUCCUUUGCUUAUGUCCCGAGAGCAUCGCAUAUUGGGAGACAUUGCUUUUAUAAAGGCAGUGGCUGCUGGGCCUGGUGAUGCACACCUAUAAUCCCAGCACAUAACAUCAGUGGCCAGCUUGCCUCAGUGUUAAUAAGGACCAGCAUGCAGGUUCAGUUUUGCUCUUCACUUUGGUCCUGAAUUGAGAGCUGAGUCAAGAGAAGUCAGCAGGUCUGCUCAAAAAUGUACGGGUCUUGGGGCCAGAGAUGUAGCUCAGUAGUUCCACUACCUGCCUCACAAGCACAAGGUCCUGAGUUCGAUCCCUGGUACAAAAAAAAUGUAUGAGUCUUUUUUUUUCCCCAAAAGACAGAUUAUUAUUGAGCCCACUUCGGUCAAGGAGCACUGAAUAUUGUGUUAAAAUAGUACUUUACUUCAUGCUUGAAAUUAACAUUUUAAAGAAUCAUGUAAAUAGUUUAAAGGUAGCUGGAUUUAUUGUAGCCAAAUGAGAAAUACAGCUGUUAAUGAGAGGGCAUAACUUUGUGUAGUUCUUAAUUAUUUACAUCAUUAGAGAAACACAAAUAUGACUAGUUCAGAGCAAUUUAACUUUGCAGUGAGAGUUUCUGCGUACCUUUAUAUGUGGGGAUAGCUGAGAUCCUUGGAAUUUACUUUGAGUGAAUGAUGGAAAUACCCGAGAAAACGUAGUGCUAGGACCUCUACUUUUUCUCAGGUCCAGUCACCAACUUCCUACAAACCAGGCAUGAAGAAAAACAAAAAAUAAAUUCUCCAGAAAAUAGGAUGCUUCUCUUCACCCAGGCACAGGUAUAAAGGGUACAUUUCUCAGGGCUCCCUUCUUUACUUUGAGUCUCUUAAGAGGUAUUUGAGAUGUCAGUAAGCUAAAAUUAAAUGUAUUAAUAUGGGAAGAUUGAAAUAUCAACAGAAAUGUUUGAUAGUAUAGGUGUUAUCAUUUACCUUGAAGGUAAAAUUUAUGCUGGAAAACAAGUCUGAAGGAUGAUCACUUUCAAAAUACAAACCUGGAAACUUCACCAUCAUUGGCUACUGUAACAACAAAAUUGCACAAACUAGGAUAUGUUAGAGCAAAAGUCUACCCAAGUCUGGUUUUUAACAGCUCUAAUCCAGGGUGCUUCUCAACUCUGUAACAAACAGUAUUUUAUUUUUGCCUUAUUUCCAGAUGCCAGCUUUAACACAUAUGCUCUACCCUAUUUUGAGCAGUGUAUUUUUGCUUUGAAAGGAAACUUGAAUGUGCAUUUUGUCUUCCUUUGAAUUACUUUUUGGGGCGGUCGUACUGGGGAUCUAACUCAGGACCUUGGCAGGUGGCGGAAGCACUGAGCUAAAUCCCCAGCCCUUGAAUGUUACUUUUAAUUGAACAGUAAGAAACUGAGCUCAGCAUUGACAGUCAGACUCUUAACUAAAUUUUCAACUUUUUCUGAGGUCAUCCUAAAUGAUUCCUUUUGUUUUUUUGUACCUGAGAUCGAACUCAGGACCUGUGCUUGCAAGGCAGGCAACGGCACCACUGAGCUAAAUCCUCAACUCCUUUCUUUUCUUUUUUAAAUUUAAUUUUGCUUUGUUUUUCUUUAUAAAGUGAAGAGUAUAUAACACGAGUCCCUUUUGCCCUGUACUAGUACAGUCUGGCAUCAGGAGCAGUAGUUGUUGCUCUUCUGAUUUUCAUUAAUGAAGUUUUAUGGGUUGGAAGAUCUAUUUUAUCCAGUGUUGAUUCUUUAAUUGGGCACUAUAAGUAAAUUCACUUGCUAUCCUGCUUAGUAUUUUAUAUUGAUAUUUUAUAUUUUAUAUUCCUUCUACUUCAGGAAUGGUAACCUAGGAAUAGCAACUGUGGAGUUGAAGGAUACUUUGAUCAUACUUUAAAUAACAGACAUUUUGAGGGUUUUUGGCUUUUAUAAAAACAAAACUCAGGAUCAUGUUCAUAGUUUUUUCAUUGCUUGUUGUUAGUGUUUAUUUAUUUAUUUAUUUUUGGUACUGGGGAUUGAACUCCGGUCCUUGUGCUUUUGAGGGAGGCGGUGGAACCACUGAGCUAAAUCUCCGGCCCUACUGUGUUUAUUAUUAAUGGAUUAAUAUCCUGCCCUUGUUCUUAAAGUAAUUUUAUAUGCUAAACUUUUGUUUUGUUUUCUAGCUUCUAAGAUAGAUAACAGUUAUUGCAAAGUACAUGUUUUUAAAUGAUCUCCAGUGUGGAUUGCUUCUGAGCCACUGAUGGAAUGAGUACUCCCGGAAGGAAUGUAUCAUUUGGAAUCCAGAAUCAUUCAUCAAGGAUAACUGCCUGAUCCUAUGAUUUCGUGACUGACGCUGAAAUGGAAGCCAACUGAUGCUGAAAUUUGGGGGAAAAUUACAUCUGAAGAAUGCAAGAGAAAGUAGGAAUUCAUUUCUAGCAUUCCCAAACCUGCCUUGUAUUGUCUACUGUACUAUAGUCAGAGGACAACAACUGAGUUCAUGGAAUUUGCCAGCUAAGCCUUACAACUGUCUUAAAUGUUCUUAGGAAAUACACUGAAAAGGUAAGUGAAUUGUCCAUUUAGAAGAAAGACUAAUAGGUAUUUUUAAGUCAGUUGUUAUAUUUUAAUAAAGACAGGGAGCUCCUUUAUUCCAAACUUCAAAGUCGUGCCCCUACUGGGUGACUUCAGUACUGUGGCAAACGUGGAGUUGUUCAACCAGCCUGGAGCUUUUCCUCUACUCAGCUACUAAGCCAGAACAUGCGUUGAAGUGCAUAGCAUGCUAAUUUCUGUUGUCUUGUUGUGCUCAAAUCCUUUUUUUUAAAAAAUUACUUUGUUUCAGAUGAGAUUUAGUUUUAUCACUCAGUAUAUAGAAAAGAGUGUUUAAUGUUUCAAAGAUUCAGCAUUACAUUUGCAUUAGAUAGAAUCAAGAAUAAAUUAAGGGUUUUAAAUGAUUUCUGUUAAUACCUACUUAUAUUAGUUUUGUGGAUUAUUAAAAAAUAUUAUUACAUUUAUUAUGUUCCUGUGUGAUAGGUAUUGUGCCAGGCCCUGGAAGAGGGACUAGCAUGCACAGUUUAUGUCCUUUGUUCAUACAAUACAGAUAGCAUUCUGGUUUAGAGAAUCAAGAUAUGAUAUAAAAAGGCUAAUUCCAUUUUCUCAUCAAUAAUUUACUCUGAUAACUACUAUGUUAACUUAGCAUAAUAAAUUCUUUAUGAAAGUGUCUUCGCUUGUGUGUUUAACAUUUAUUAAAUACUUUGUGCCAGGUAUUGUGUUAAACUCUUUACAUAUAUUUCUUUACUCAUAUCUCUUCUUUGAGGUAGGUACUAUUACUAAAACUCAUUUUCUAAGAAAAGUAGAGAAGCUAACUAACUUAACUUGUGCUGAGUUUGCUCUACCUAUGAUCUGGGACCAAUAUUUGGACCCAGGUAAGCUAAUUCCAGAAUCUACACUCUUUCUUUGGGUAUGAUGUUGAUAUGCAGUACCUGGCUAUGAGUAUCCAUAAACCAUUCCAAACUCUUAAUAGAAAUUUUCCCUAAAUUCUUCUCUAGCUCCAAGACAGUUUGCAUGCUGACCUUUCCUCUUACCCCAGGCCCCAAGUGUAAAGGACUGGAACAGAAGAGCAGAGCUUGGCAGUUACAUUUUAUAUUUAGGAUCUUGUCUCUCAGAUCCACCCCUUUUAUUUUUGGAAUGUGAGCAUUUUCUUUAGCUGCUAAAUCAUGAGAAAAUACAGCUGCUGAGAUUUUUCCUAGGAUUAAAAAAAAGAUUAGGCAUUGUUGAAGUGAAGAAAAAUUGCUCUGAGAACCACAGGUAGGUAAUUUGCCCCCUGUUGUAUGGAAAGCCCCUGCACCUCUGUCCAUUGUUUUAUACUUCUGUAAAUCUGAUUUUAACUUUAAUAAAGUGGUUUCUGAAGUGAGUGGGUUUUAUUUUGUCUCAUUUCCCAUUAGAUUCUGUAUCUCUUUUCACCUUAUGUAUAUUAUUGCUGUCCCCUUCAAAACUAAUGGUAUGAUUAAAAUGAAAGUACCUCCCAUAUACCUAGUACUGAUUAGCUUUAAAAAUACAUAUACAAAAAUACAUAUACAAGACUUUGUCUUAGCUCAGUGUGGGUUCUAUCCAAUAAUAAAACUCUAGAUUUUUGAACAAAAAGUCAGAAGUUGUAAAAUUACUGUGAACAGUGUUUCAUUGUGUAUCUCAAGCAAUUGUGACAAAAAGAAAUCUGCCCAAGUGAAAUCAAGUUAACUUUCUGUGAGUAAUGAAGUUAACUGCAGGAACAGUAUUGACCAUCUCUCUCUCAGAUUACUGAUUUUCAAACUUCAAUGUUAUGUGAAUAACCUGAGGUUUUGUUAAAAUGAAGAUUUUUAAAUCAGGGAAGUAGGUCUGGGGUAAAAAAAAGUUUUGUUGAAAUAUAAUUAAAAUAACAAAAUUCACUCUUUAAAAGUGUACAGUGGUUUUCAACAUGGAGAGUUUUACAACUAUUGCUACUUUUUAAUUUCUUCA